rnacentral:rRNA from 1 species
CCCGCCGGACCUGACUGCUAUCGGAUUGAUACUAAGCCAUGCGAGUCUUUGUAGUAAUACAAGGCAGACGGCUCAGUAACACGUAGUCAACCUACCCUAUGGACAAGAAUAAUCUCGGGAAACUGGGCAUAAUUCUUGAUAGAUCAUAAUGCCUGGAAUGGUUUAUGGUUAAAAUGAUUCGUCGCCAUAGGAUGGGACUGCGGCCUAUCAGCUUGUUGGUGAGGUAAUGGCCCACCAAGGCGAUUACAGGUACGGGCUCUGAGAGGAGAAGCCCGGAGAUGGGUACUGAGACACGGACCCAGGCCCUAUGGGGCGCAGCAGGCGAGAAAACUUUGCAAUGUGCGAAAGCACGACAAGGUUAAUCCGAGUGAUUUCUGCUAAAGAAAUCUUUUGCCAGUCAUAAAACCACUGGUGAAUAAGGGGUGGGCAAGUUCUGGUGUCAGCCGCCGCGGUAAAACCAGCACCUCAAGUGGUCAGGAUGAUUAUUGGGCCUAAAGCAUCCGUAGCCGGCUUUGUUAGUUUUCGGUUAAAUCCAUGUGCUCAACGCAUGGGCUGCCGAAAAUACUGCAUAGCUAGGGAGUGGGAGAGGUAGACGGUACUCAGUAGGUAGGGGUAAAAUCCUUUGAUCUAUUGAUGACCACCUGUGGCGAAGGCGGUCUACCAGAACACGUUCGACGGUGAGGGAUGAAAGCUGGGGGAGCAAACCGGAUUAGAUACCCGGGUAGUCCCAGCUGUAAACGAUGCAGACUAGAUGAUGCAUUGGCAUAAUAGCCAUUGCAGUGUCUCAGGGAAGCCGUUAAGUCUGCCGCCUGGGAAGUACGUACGCA